UGAUUGGUGCUUGCAUCAUGAUUUACAUUUGAGUGAGUGGCGAACUGGUGAGUAACACGUGGGAAACCUGCCCAGAAGCGGGGGAUAACACCUGGAAACAGAUGCUAAUACCGCAUAACAACUUGGACCGCAUGGUCCGAGUUUGAAAGAUGGCUUCGGCUAUCACUUUUGGAUGGUCCCGCGGCGUAUUAGCUAGAUGGUGGGGUAACGGCUCACCAUGGCAAUGAUACGUAGCCGACCUGAGAGGGUAAUCGGCCACAUUGGGACUGAGACACGGCCCAAACUCCUACGGGAGGCAGCAGUAGGGAAUCUUCCACAAUGGACGAAAGUCUGAUGGAGCAACGCCGCGUGAGUGAAGAAGGGUUUCGGCUCGUAAAACUCUGUUGUUAAAGAAGAACAUAUCUGAGAGUAACUGUUCAGGUAUUGACGGUAUUUAACCAGAAAGCCACGGCUAACUACGUGCCAGCAGCCGCGGUAAUACGUAGGUGGCAAGCGUUGUCC
rnacentral:rRNA from 2 species